rnacentral:rRNA from 1 species
AUUGAACGCUGGCGGCAGGCUUAACACAUGCAAGUCGAGCGGAGAUGAGGUGCUUGCACCUUAUCUUAGCGGCGGACGGGUGAGUAAUGCUUAGGAAUCUGCCUAUUAGUGGGGGACAACAUUCCGAAAGGAAUGCUAAUACCGCAUACGUCCUACGGGAGAAAGCAGGGGAUCUUCGGACCUUGCGCUAAUAGAUGAGCCUAAGUCGGGUUAGCUAGUUGGUGGGGUAAAGGCCUACCAAGGCGACGAUCUGUAGCGGGUCUGAGAGGAUGCUCCGCCACACUGGGACUGAGACACGGCCCCGACUCCUACGGGAGGCAGCAGUGGGGAAUAUUGGACAAUGGGGGGAACCCUGAUCCAGCCAGGCCGCGUGUGUGAAGAAGGCCUUAUGGUUGUAAAGCACUUUAAGCGAGGAGGAGGCUACUGAGACUAAUACUCUUGGAUAGUGGACGUUACUCGCAGAAUAAGCACCGGCUAACUCUGUGCCAGCCGCCGCAGUAACAC